ACAGUGGUGGUUCAGUGGUAGAAUUCUUACCUUCUAUGUGGGAGGCCUGGGUUCAAUUCCUGGCCAAUGUA
rnacentral:tRNA from 1 species